UACGUAGGGACCGAGCGUUGUCCGGAAUCAUUGGGCGUAAAGAGCGUGUAGGCGGCCUUUUAAGUCCUGCGUGAAAUCCUGCGGCUCAACCGCAGACGGUCGUGGGAAACUGGAAGGCUAGAGUGCGGGAGAGGAGAGUGGAAUUCCCGGUGUAGCGGUGAAAUGCGCAGAUAUCGGGAAGAACACCCGUGGCGAAGGCGGCUCUCUGGAACGCAACUGACGCUGAGACGCGAAAACGUGGGGAGCAAACAGGG
rnacentral:rRNA from 1 species